GAUGAACGCUGACAGAAUGCUUAACACAUGCAAGUCAACUUGAAUUUGGGUUUUUAACUUAGGUUUGGGUGGCGGACGGGUGAGUAACGCGUAAAGAACUUGCCUCACAGCUAGGGACAACAUUUGGAAACGAAUGCUAAUACCUAAUAUUAUGAUAAUAGGGCAUCCUAUAAUUAUGAAAGCUAUAAGCGCUGUGAGGGAGCUUUGCGUCCCAUUAGCUAGUUGGAGAGGUAACGGCUCACCAAGGCGAUGAUGGGUAGCCGGCCUGAGAGGGUGAUCGGCCACAAGGGGACUGAGACACGGCCCUUACUCCUACGGGAGGCAGCAGUGGGGAAUAUUGGACAAUGGACCGAGAGUCUGAUCCAGCAAUUCUGUGUGCACGAUGAAGUUUUUCGGAAUGUAAAGUGCUUUCAGUUGGGAAGAAACAAAUGACGGUACCAACAGAAGAAGUGACGGCUAAAUACGUG
rnacentral:rRNA from 1 species